UGCUUAACACAUGCAAGUCGAACGGCAGCAUGACCUAGCUUGCUAGGUUGAUGGCGAGUGGCGAACGGGUGAGUAACGCGUAGGAAUAUGCCUUGAAGACUGGGAUAACUUGGGGAAACUCAAGCUAAUACCGGAUGAUGUCUGAGGACGAAAGCUGGGGACCUUCGGGCCUGGCGCUUUAAGAUUAGCCUGCGUCCGAUUAGCUAGUUGGUGGGGUAAGGGCCUACCAAGGCGACGAUCGGUAGCUGGUCUGAGAGGAUGACCAGCCACACUGGAACUGAGACACGGUCCAGACUCCUACGGGAGGCAGCAGUGGGGAAUAUUGGACAAUGGGGGGAACCCUGAUCCAGCAAUGCCGCGUGUGUGAAGAAGGCCUGAGGGUUGUAAAGCACUUUCAGUGGGGAGGAGGAUUGAUAGGUUAAGAGCUAAUUGAUUGGACGUUACCCACAGAAGAAGCACCGGCUAACUCCGUGCCAGCAGCCGCGGUAAUACGGAGGGUGCAAGCGUUAAUCGGAAUUACUGGG
rnacentral:rRNA from 1 species